rnacentral:tRNA from 1 species
AGUCUCGCAGUUUUAGGAACGUCAGAUUGCAAAUCUGGAGGAGCAGCGUCACACCCGCCGAGACUU